UUUUUACGGUACAUUAACCACUCGUUAAAAGAACUUGGUUUGAAAAGAAUCGGAUUUUUCAUAUAACAGAUCCCAGUGAUUGAAACAACCAUGAGCAGAAAUAUAAAUAUUGGUUGAGAUAAUUUUUUUUUAAUAGGGCACCCAUCAAGAUAUUUUCAAUACAAAGCAGCAGAAUAGUCUUUCAUAAGCCACAAAAUAGACAUUUUAUGGGUGAAUGCUAAGCUAAGAACACAUGCCAGAAAUUGUAUUGCAGUUGGGAAAUGGAGAAAUUCAGACAGCAUAGAAGAAACAUUCCGUACCACAUCUGCAUAUGGAUUGGCAAUCACCCUAAUCUUUGUGUCACUCAUCUGUGCCUCUGUAAUUAAAGGUUUCCACUAACCAGCAAUUUGGCCGUCUGAGGCAACGUUGGUAUGUGUACAGUCAUUUAAUAAUCCACGGCUUUUUUCCCUGCUCAGGUGACACUUAACAACUCCUGUGUGCUGCUAUCACACCCCUGCUCCAGUUGUGAACCAUGUGGCAUCUCUGGCAUCCCAAGGUUCUCCCAAGCCCUGCUCAGCCGUGCCCUGAGUCUGUUCCUGUCACUUGUCUGGUUCUGAUGGCCACAAUCCCCAGUCUUCAUGUUUUUGGUUGUGCCAGUGCAGUUUUAUUGAUUUGAGCGUACUUUGGACUUUCAUCAGUUGCUUGUUUUAGGCAGUUCAUUUAACAAGACACCGAAUAAUAGAUGAUAGAAUUACAGAAUAUCCUGAGUUGGAAGGGACUGACAAGGAUCAUUGAGUCCAGCCCCUGGCUCUGCACAGACCCCCCAACAAUCCCACCCUGAGAGAAUUGUCCAAAGGCUCCUGGAGCUCUGGCAGCCUUGGGGCCGUGCCAGUUCCCUGGGCAGCACCCUCUGGGAAGAAUCUUUUCCUGAUAUUCAGCCUAACCCUCCCUGACACAGCUCCAGCCCUUCCAUUCACACAUGUAACAGGUACAGUAGAUACACAAGGGCAGAACAUAACUGUCCCUCAGGCAGCUUCUAUUUCUAAAUACUGGGCAGUUUAUGCACAUAACUUAUCUUUAUUUGCUUCUAGUGAAUAUUUACGAUUAUUUGUGUUUGUUGAUGGUUAAAAGCUGACUUUUGAAGAAAGAGUCACAAAUAAACACAGAUGGUAAAACUUUUCAAAAUGCGAUCCAAAAGAAAACCCAAAUGAGAAAAAGGGAGGUACAGAUGCCCACAGGCACCUGGAGGGUGAAGUUACUCUGGUACCAAUGCGGUUCUUGCACAGCCUGCACGGGCUGAAGGCCAGAGCAGAUGGAAAGUCAACCAUGCCUGAAUGAGGA